AACUUCCUAUUCUGCCUGACAUGUGACCUGCAAAGUUGGAAAUUGAUUCACUCAGUCAUGAGACAACAAUUGUCAGUGAGGAAAUUGGGGCACCAAGAAUUACGCAUCAAAGCAACAGGAAGAGACAGUUCUGUCUGAGUGAGAAUGACAAGAUUGAGAGAGGUAGAUGUCAGAUUGCUUUAUCAAGAAAUGAAGAUUUUAGCCACAAAAGCAAACAAAAUAGAUCAAAUUCCAAAGUGGGAAGACCUCAUCCACAGCAUUUCCUGACCCUCCUUCCGGAUUUAUUCUUCUAAUUCCACACUAAGCAGAAGAUGGCAGAUUAGCCGAAUUUCCUAACCGAAAUGAUUCCCCAGUGUGAUCGGACGGCUGUGUGUAACGAUCCCUGAAGGCAACAGCAAGAUGCAAAAGAAACAAUACAUGAUAAAAAUGCAGGUAUAAAAUAAAAACUAACAACAAACUUCUAGUCAAAGAAGUAAUAAAAGAGACCUUAAAGGAGUAGUCCAAU